rnacentral:rRNA from 1 species
AUUGAACGCUGGCGGCAGGCUUAAUACAUGCAAGUCGAGCGGAGAUGAGGUGCUUGCACCUUAUCUUAGCGGCGGACGGGUGAGUAAUGCUUAGGAAUCUGCCUAUUAGUGGGGGACAACAUUCCGAAAGGAAUGCUAAUACCGCAUACGCCCUACGGGGGAAAGCAGGGGAUCUUCGGACCUUGCGCUAAUAGAUGAGCCUAAGUCGGAUUAGCUAGUUGGUGGGGUAAAGGCCUACCAAGGCGACGAUCUGUAGCGGGUCUGAGAGGACGACCCGCCACACUGGGACUGAGACACGGCCCAGACUCCUACGGGAGGCAGCAGUGGGGAAUAUUGGACAAUGGGCGGAAGCCUGAUCCAGCCAUGCCGCGUGUGUGAAGAAGGCCUUUUGGUUGUAAAGCACUUUAAGCGAGGAGGAGGCUACCUGGAUUAAUACUCUAGGAUAGUGGACGUUACUCGCAGAAUAAGCACCGGCUAACUCUGUGCCAGCCGCCGCGGUAAAAC